CACAUCAGGUGAUGAAAGUGGAAAUAAUCUUAGGACACCUUCCUACACAGCAAAUUGCUGUGGAUGAGAAAGAAAUUUCCAUCGCUGAUGAUGUG